rnacentral:lncRNA from 1 species
CGGAAAUGCACGUGGGGCGGACGCAGGGCCCACUCAGACCGCGACGGAGGGACGACGGGUACGCCAAUGGGCGCGGGCGGCGGCGGCGGUGCGACGGAAGUCCUGCCUGGCGGGAGGGGCGGGGGGGGCGGCGGGCGGCAGGCAGCGGGGCGGGCAUAGGGUGAGGGCGGCCGUUGCUGGAGUUCAGCUUCGGGGAGGAGGACGCUGAGGAGGCGCCGAGCCGCGCAGCGCUGCCGGGGAGGCGCCCGCGCAGACGCGAGGCCCAUGGCCAGGCCCACCAGCCAGCUGUCCCCCAGUAUGGUGCCGUACCCAUCCAGUCCAGAGUGGUGUUAUGUUCCUGCCCAUCCCCAUCAAUGGUGAGGACCCAGACUGAGUCCAGCACAGCCCCUGGCAUUCCUGGUGGCAGCAGGCAGGGCCCCGCCAUGGACGGCACCGCAUCCGAGCCUCGGCCUGGCACCGGCUCCCUGGAGCACACCGCCGCCGCAGCCUCGGAAGAAGCGGCCUGAGGACUUCAAGUUUGGGAAAAUUCUUGGGGAAGGCUCUUUUUCCACGGUUGUCCUGGCUCGAGAACUGGCAACCUCCAGAGAAUACGCGAGUGAGUAUGGGCUGCAGGGAGCUGUGCGUCUGGGAGCAGGGCCAGCGGCUCCGUGCAGGGCAGCCGGGGUGGCAGGGCCGGGGUUUCUGUGCUGAUUUCAGGGUACAGGACACUGUUGGCUUUAGAGACCACCAGGCUGGUGUGUACAAUGUUUGAAAGACUUUAAUUUGUACCAGUUACCUUUGUGAGUCAUGUCUUUAGUGUUUUUUGUUGUUUCUGAUAGUAACUCACUUCUCUCUCACCUGAAGUUAAAAUUCUGGAGAAGCGACAUAUCAUAAAAGAGAACAAGGUCCCGUAUG